CUCGUUUAACCAGUAACCUUAUUCAGUUAUUGUCGCUCACAGUAAACACGGGAGCCAACUGCGUCUGCAGCCUUUGAAGGACGCGUCCUUUGAAGACUGCAUCAGCAAAACUGAACGGUCUCUGAAAUGGAGCGGUCUGGUCUGUGGAGGAUUUCCUGGGUGCAUCACCAGUUGUUCUCACCCCGACCCGUUGGCGUUACUGUUACCUAGCAACCAGCUGCUCUUAAGAAAAGAAAGAGUAAACUAACCUUUCCAUCCUCCAUGUCGGCACAAAGCGACACUAACACUCCAGCUGCUCUGAGGUAGGUGAUAAAUACCACCUGAACAUGUAUGUUUUGUUGCCAGUUUAGACUCAUUGUCAUUACGUCAUAAAACAUAGACCACAGUCACACAGUGUGUGUUGUGUUACUGGAGCGACUGUGGAGCAACAACUGAAGUUUGCAGCGUCACAUUUAAACAGCAGGACGAUCACGUUACACGGUCAGAGGUGAGUUCAGGUUCAAACGACUGUUAGCGACUAAAAUACACGACAUUAAUAUCCAGAGGGUGAAUAACAGUUAUAUUACGUCAGCUAUGACACUGACACCUUAUUACCGCUGGCUCGUGAGAAGAAAACUGCAACAUGAGCGGCGUAAAUAAAAACGCUGACAUAGUUUAUGUGGAUUUCUACAGUGUCACAUUCAUGUCUGCGAUUUAAUCCGAAAAUAAGUAGGUUAAUGUCGAGGCAUUGUGAGUGCGCUCCCACUGUGUUUCUGCCACGUAUGCACGUGUCCUGCAGCAGAGUGGAAAGUUGAAGAAGACGCCAGAGACAAUAUAACAAUAACCCCAUAAGAAUAUUUGACACUGUCCCUUCUGCUGUGUGGAGUUUUAGUUUGGGCUGAAUGUUAUUAAAACUGUUUGAGGUGACUUAUUAUUUUGUUUUAUUCUAACAUGCACAUCUCUGCUACACAUGAGCAGAUAUUGAUUUUUCUAGAAGUUACCUUUCUUCUACACUUGCACUGAGAAGUGGUGGAAGUGACAUAUGAUAAUGUACCUCAUUUUUUGUCCAACCAGCAGUCUAAAAGCCAACAAUACUCAAUUUAGUGUCGUGUUACACAAGAACAAAAGGUUAUCUACACAUCCAAGAGGCUGGAGCCGUCACAUAUAUAAUAUCUUUGUUCUGAAAUUGAAUUCAACUACUAAUUAAUCAAAAGAACUGCUGUAAAACUCAGCUGAUCGACUAAUCUAUUGUUAUAACUCUGAUUUUAGAAACUUUUUUGUGUUUUUGUGUAAUUAAUUUGAAACAAAGCUCAUUUACUUUUUUUUACACGUCUCAUUUUUCUUUGUGUGUCGUCUUUGCAGUUGAUUUGUGAAGGAUUUGUGUGUUGCUGUGUGUGUGUGUGUGUGUGUGUGUGUGUGUGUGUGUGUGUGUGAGCCUCUUCUCCCAGUUCAGCCCAGUGCUUCAUACUGGGUGUUUGUACAAGCUGAGGAGGCAGAGCAGAGCAGUGGCAAUACCCAUUCCACCCUCAGCUGUAGAGUGGCUCUGUGGUGGAAGAAAUCCCUGCUACAAACUAAACAUAGCGGCUAACAUGUUGCUCAGAACCAGAGUUUGACUGAUGGAAGUAAAAACAGCCAUUACGCACACUGUCACAGUUUUACACCAGCUGAUAUGUUUGAAUUUGACUUCUUGAAUGCUUGUUCUGCUGCUCCCGUCACUCCUCUCUGCUCUGUCAUCACAUCCUGCAGGAUCCACACCGGCCACAAGAUGGCGCCCAACGCCAGGAAGAGAGGAGGUGACGUCAAUGUCUGCUGAAGGUCAUCAGUCCAACUGAGUGAUCCAGUUUGUUUUGAAAGCUGUAAAGUAUUUGUCAUUGCAGAGAGGUCACUGUGUCCAUGUGUAAACAAUAACUUAUGUAGGUAGUAGUGCAGGAUUUUAUUUUAUUUUUAUUUAUUGCAUUUAAAGAAAUAAGAUAACAGUAAUCCUGGAGGAACAGAUCAUAAAAAGAGAACAAGAAAAUGACAUAAUUGAGGAUGUUAAGUUUGUUUUAGUAAAGAAAAGGAGAACAUUUAAAGUAGUUCUCCCCAAAGGUCAAGUAACAUUACAAAUUGACAGUGUCACUAAUAAUAAUAAUAAUAAUACAUUUUAUUUAUAAUGCCCUUUUCAUCAAAAGAUCUCAAAGUGCUACAAGUUAAAAACAAAGAAAGAUAAAAAAAAAAGGAAUGGAAGAGAAUAAAAACAAGAUGAGCAGUUAUUUAAAAGGAUUUAAACAAAAACAUCGAAGGGGGACCAAAAGCCUUGCUAAAAAGAAAUGUCUUGAGACCUUUUUUAAAACAGUCAGUGGAUUGUGGUGCCCUCAAGGUGUCGGGGAGGGCAUUCCACAGACGUGGGGCAGCAGCACAGAAGGCCCUGUCUCCCAUGGUCCUGAGUCUGGUUCUGGGUAUUUGGAGGAGGUUUGAGUGAACUACAGGACAACAAACAAUUUUACAGUUACUUUAAGACAUUUGCUGCACUGUAUUUGUUUUCUUUCUUUUGUUUUCUCAGAAGCACACUAACAAGAAGAGAGAACUUACAAAGAAGAUGUAAGAGCUAUAAAUGAUCCAGAUUGUAUGAUGUGUUUGAACUGUGUAUAAUUAAAUGUUGCUGUGACAGAUACUUUGCAGGAUAUAACCAUUACAUUAAAAGCUUUUUUUAAAUUUUAUUUUAUUUUUUAAUUUUUUAAUGAAAUUGUGUCAAAGUUUACAGAAGUUGAAUGUUGCUCUGUUUGUGUCACUGGAAUUAAAAUAUGUCUGAAUUUAAGGCAGACUGAAGACAUUAAUAAAGUCACAUUUUAUCUCAUCAUAAUGUCUGUUGAAUCGUUCAGUGAUGGUGAGUG